UGGUUGAGUGGUAAAGCGCUGGGCUUCUGAACCGGGGGCCCGGGUUCUAAUCCUGG
rnacentral:tRNA from 1 species